rnacentral:rRNA from 1 species
CUCAAAUCAGGUAGGACUACCCGCUGAACUUAAGCAUAUCAAUAAGCGGAGGAAAAGAAACUAACAAGGAUUCCCCUAGUAACUGCGAGUGAAGCGGGAAAAGCUCAAAUUUAAAAUCUGGCAGCCUUUGGUUGUCCGAGUUGUAGUCUGGAGAAGCGUCUUCCGCGCUGGAC